rnacentral:rRNA from 1 species
GACAGAGGGUGCAAACGUUGUUCGGAAUUACUGGGCGUAAAGCGUGCGUAGGUGGUUUGUUAAGUCUGUUGUGAAAGCCCCGGGCUCAACCUGGGAAUGGCAAUGGAUACUGGCAAGCUAGAGUGCGGUAGAGGGUAGUGGAAUUCCCGGUGUAGCGGUGAAAUGCGUAGAGAUCGGGAGGAACACCAGUGGCGAAGGCGGCUACCUGGACCAGCACUGACACUGAGGCACGAAAGCGUGGGGAGCAAACAGG